UUGGCUGUCCAGGCAAGUCAUGCACGCAGCUAUGUUCAGUGCAAAGUGUAUUUCAAAAACAUCUGCUCACACGUUUUGGGAAGUAAACUUAAAAUCCUUUUUUUCCACACAUUUUACAGCUGUUCAGUGAGAGUACUGCUUCGGCCAUGGAGUUUUAUAGCGAGCAGGAAGACUGCAAGAAGCUCCAUGGGUCGGCUGCAACAUCGCAAUUCACAAGAACAUUGAACAAGCUGUUCGACUGCCUGAACUCUCGGAGGCCAGACCAUGUUCGAUUCAACGAAGCACAACACAUUGCUGUGUUGAAGGACAGCAUUGCAUGGCUGGACAACUGGGAGAAAUACAUCAAGACAUUACCGACCCAGAGGCAAGUCUGCUUUCUGAGUAAGCAGACAUGUGGAGCCCUCAGACUGACACUGCAUAGCUCAGUUGCACUCAUCGAGAGCUUGCUGUUGUCUGGGUUUCGUUACGUUCUCGUUGGGAACUUCGGACAAGAUCCUCUAGAGGUAAACAUGAUGACUUUUAUGUGUAUAAAUGUGCUAUGAAUUUCUCAUUGUUGCGAUAAAUUGAUUUUUUCUUUCUAGAGGUUUUUCGGCAUCGUCAGGCAUGUUGCUGGUGACGGAGGGCAGCCGACUGUGCAACAUUUUUUGUUCAUCUAUCGGAUGCUCUCUGUAAACAACCUAGUUCGGCCGCCAAAACGGGCCUCGGUCGAGGGAGAUGGACCCCAGCUGUUGCUCAAGCUCCAGGGCCUCUUUGACAAGGGAAAACCUGCCUCCAGUCAGAUUGACAUGUUGGCGGUCCUCUUUGAUGACGUUCUUGAGGAGCCGGGAGAGGCAGUGAACAAUGCAUCCGUGCCUGACGUUACC